UUUGGUGAUUAAUGCAAGAAGGUACCACCUGUUCCCAUGCCGAACACAGCCGUUAAGCUUCUUAGCGCCGAGGAUAGUGAAGGGUUUCCCUUUGUGAAAGCCGGACAUUGCCAUUC
rfam:Atopostipes suicloacalis DSM 15692 genome assembly, contig: EJ15DRAFT_scaffold00010.10